rnacentral:lncRNA from 1 species
GCAGGCAACUAAGACAAUCAUGGGGAUCACACUGUGUUCCUUCCAGAAAUCCAGAAAGCCUCAGCCAAGCUGGUACUGGCAAAGACAAUGAUAAUUCUCGUGAGAAAGGUAAUCUUGGUGUGGUGAAGAGGGUUUGCAUGGAAUCAGAAGAAUGGGCAAAGGUUCCUCUGCAAGAUAUUGGAAAGAAGACGAAGAAAAAAAGGAAAGAAAAAGGAAGAGAAGGAGGAAAGUAAGAAAGAGAAUACAGAAGAACUAAUGAAUCCAGAGCACUUGAUGAGUGAAAAUGAUAGAAAUCCUCCAGAAGGAAAAGAACUGGAUUAUGAAACAACGUGAGUAUUAGAGCUGAUUCUCUGCAAAAUAAU